rnacentral:tRNA from 1 species
GGGGUUGUAGCUCAGUGGUAGAGCACUUGCCUCGCAUGCAUGAGGCCCUGGGUUCUGUCCCCAGCACCACA